GUAGGGAAUAUUGCGCAAUGGGGGAAACCCUGACGCAGCGACGCCGCGUGAGUGAUGAAGGCCUUCGGGUCGUAAAGCUCUGUUGCAGGGGAAUAAAAAAAUGAAGGUACCCUGUGAGGAAGGAUCGGCUAACUUCGUGCCAGCAGCCGCGGUAAGACGAGGGAUCCUAGCGUUGCUCGGAAUCAUUGGGCGUAAAGAGGGCGUAGGUGGCUUGGUAAGUCAGGUGUGAAAGCCCAGGGCUCAACCCUGGAAGUGCAUUUGAUACUGCUGAGCUUGAGUGUCGGAGAGGUUACCGGAAUACCUGGUGUAGUGGUGAAAUAUGUAGAUAUCAGGUGGAACACCGGAGGCGAAGGCGGGUAACUGGACGAACACUGACACUGAGGCCCGAAAGCGUGGGGAUCAAACAGGAUUAGAAACCCCGGUAGUCC
rnacentral:rRNA from 1 species